rnacentral:rRNA from 1 species
UACGUAGGGUCCAAGCGUUAUCCGGAAUUACUGGGCGUAAAGCGUACGUAGGCGGGUAUUUAAGUGCAAUGUGAAAUCUUGUGGCUCAACCAUAUAGACUAUGUUGCAUACUGGAUACCUAGAGGAUGGCAGAGGCAAGUGGAAUUUCUAGUGUAGCAGUGAUAUGCGUAGAUAUUAGAAGGAACACCAAUGGCGAAGGCAGCUUGCUGGGCCACCCCUGACGCUGAGGUACGAAAGCGUGGGUAGCAAACAGG